rnacentral:rRNA from 1 species
AAGAGUUUGAUCCUGGCUCAGAUUGAACGCUGGCGGCAUGCCUUACACAUGCAAGUCGAACGGUAACAGGUCUUCGGAUGCUGACGAGUGGCGAACGGGUGAGUAAUACAUCGGAACGUGCCCGAUCGUGGGGGAUAACGCAGCGAAAGCUGUGCUAAUACCGCAUACGAUCUACGGAUGAAAGCGGGGGAUCGCAAGACCUCGCGCGGACGGAGCGGCCGAUGGCAGAUUAGGUAGUUGGUGGGAUAAAAGCUUACCAAGCCGACGAUCUGUAGCUGGUCUGAGAGGACGACCAGCCACACUGGGACUGAGACACGGCCCAGACUCCUACGGGAGGCAGCAGUGGGGAAUUUUGGACAAUGGGCGCAAGCCUGAUCCAGCCAUGCCGCGUGCAGGAUGAAGGCCUUCGGGUUGUAAACUGCUUUUGUACGGAACGAAAAGACUCCUUCUAAUAAAGGGGGUCCAUGACGGUACCGUAAGAAUAAGCACCGGCUAACUACGUGCCAGCAGCCGCGGUAAUACGUAGGGUGCGAGCGUUAAUCGGAAUUACUGGGCGUAAAGCGUGCGCAGGCGGUUAUGUAAGACAGAUGUGAAAUCCCCGGGCUCAACCUGGGAACUGCAUUAGUGACUGUAUAGCUAGAGUAUAGGAGAGGAUUGUAGAAUUCCAGGUGUAGCGGUGAAAUGCGUAGAGAUCUGGAGGAAUACCGAUGGCGAAGGCAGCCAUCUGGCCUAAUACUGACACUGAGGUGCGAAAGCAUGGGGAGCAAACAGGAUUAGAUACCCUGGUAGUCCAUGCCGUAAACGAUGUCUACUAGCCGUUGGGGCCUUUGAGGCUUUAGUGGCGCAGCUAACGCGAUAAGUAGACCGCCUGGGGAGUACGGUCGCAAGACUAAAACUCAAAUGAAUUGACGGGGGCCCGCACAAGCGGUGGAGCAUGUGGUUUAAUUCGAUGCAACGCGAAGAACCUUACCUGGCCUUGACAUACAGAGAACUUUCCAGAGAUGGAUUGGUGCCUUCGGGAACUCUGAUACAGGUGCUCUGCAUGGCUGUUGUCAGCUCGUGUCGUGAGAUGUUGGGUUAAGUCCCGCAACUAGCGCAACCCUUGUCCUUAGUUGCCAGCACGUAAUGGUGGGAACUCUAAGGAGACUGCCGGUGACAAACCGGAGGAAGGUGGGGAUGACGUCAAGUCAUCAUGGCCCUUACGGCCUGGGCUACACACGUGCUACAAUGGUCGGUACAGAGGGUCGCCAAGCCGCGAGGUGGAGCUAAUCUCACAAAACCGAUCGUAGUCCGGAUCGCAGUCUGCAACUCGACUGCGUGAAGUCGGAAUCGCUAGUAAUCGCGAAUCAGAAUGUCGCGGUGAAUACGUUCCCGGGCCUUGUACACACCGCCCGUCACACCAUGGGAGUGGGUUGCACCAGAAGUAGCUAGUCUAACCUUCGGGAGGACGGUUACCACGGUGUGAUUCAUGACUGGGGUGAAGUCGUAACAAGGUAACC